CCGGAAUAUAUGUUAUUGAUAAAUCUGCUUCUGCUUCUGGAGGAAACUUGGAGUGGGAAUCGAUCUUCCAACUGCUAUCAGCCCCUAAGCAUAACUCUUUCAUUCUCGUUGUUAAUGAUAAAAUUAAUUGUACAGACGAAACUUUUUGUCCAAAGGUAGAUUUUCUUGUGUUUUUUCUGUAACAUUUCAAAUCUCAAAA
rnacentral:lncRNA from 1 species